AACUUUUUUUUCUUAAGAUUAGCAUACUUUGCAGUAGACAAGAGAGGGCUUAUUUGAUUUUUUGCGGGACAGGAACACAUGUUUAUGGAUGUAUAAAUAUGGUCCAUGUGGGCAUGAAUUUGUGAUUAGUAACAUACUUAUGAUCGGCACAUUUGUUUUCAUUUUGGUGUAAUUCAUUGUUUUGUGCAUUUUGUUUUGCAUUUUCAAAAUUACAACAGGACAUAAUAUUUAUAUAAAGUUUUUCCAUGUACAUUCAUAUGCAUUUUCAUUUCUUUUACUCCGCUUUUACCUUAUACAGUCUGUAUACAAAUACUUACAUUUUAUACAUAUGAUGUACAGAGAUGAUAUUAAUACUUAAGACUGUUUUGUAAUAAAAGAUUCUGAAA
rnacentral:misc_RNA from 1 species